UGCCCAAUCAGAUGCCAUUUCACACCCGUCCCAAUGCUUCAUUCAUUGUUUCUGCAGACGGUUGUAAUUAUCAAAGAGUCUCUCUAAACAAAACUUUUCAUUUAUUCUGUGACUAUCCUUUCUGUUACCUUCAUCCACUAAAGUCUCAAUCUGGUUUUCUCAGACGCUCCAACGUCAACAGUUGCUUCGCAUGCUUUGGAACAUUUCCUAUCAGGUACAAUGAUUCUUUUCUUUUGAACGAUUCUUUGGCUAAAACAUGUGCUAAACUAUUUGCUGAUCUCAGAGUAUAAGUAAAAGUAAUAUACUGGAAUCUAGCUUUAAGCUUCUGAAUAUCAUGAAUGUAUGCUCGUAUUUGGGAUUUGUCUGUUUCAUUUUACUGGCAUUUUUUUAUUAUCACUAAUGCAUCUCCUUCCACUACAACCUCCGACCAUUCCUUGUCUAUCCCAAUUUGCAUUGCCCGGAGACAUGCGAGCGCUUUCCGGCAAAACUUGACGGAACCCAGUUGUGAAUAAUUGAACAAGAAAUUAGCACCUGUCCUGCCAUAUUCCUCGCUAUAAUCCCUGAUGUCGAUCUUGAACUGUAAAUAUCAAAAGCAAUGUCGAAGUUGAUUUUGAUAACUGACCUAGAUGGAUUCCUCUACUUUGCCUCUGUUUGAAAAUAGCCCACAGCACAACUCCCACCGAACGCCUCUGCUUGAUCGAACAGACUUCAAAAAUCCAGAACAACCUCGAAAUAUAUGAUCCAUGGACUCCGCUACUUGAUUACAUCGUGCACAAGAUACAUUAGCCAUCAGCUUCAUCUGAUGCAAAAUAACUAGAUUAGGGAUGUAAUGCCAUGAAAUUAUCCAUAUUAUAGCCAAUAGCUUAGAAGGUAAGUUGAUGUUUCACAAUUGUUUGUAAAAGUUCCUAUUGUUUGUCUGUAAAGCAUAAGCACUUCGACUAUCUGGAAAGUUUUGUAAUAGUUUUUAGGCACUACGUACUGAGAACUCUCCUGAGGGUUCCCCCCGCCAUACCAGCAUGUCAUCGACCUCAGUCAUCACUAAGGGAAUUCAGAUAAUUCUUUCUGCAUCCA